rnacentral:lncRNA from 1 species
AAGCAGCUUCAAUAAAAUUAUUGGCCAAAAGACAACAAUAUCCGAACACAAGGUGGAAAGUAUCGUGACGAUUCAUCAUCAUCGUAAAACAACGGGUGGCCACCCAAGUAAGCCACGUCAGUCGAAUUUGCCUACCAUUAUUGACAGCUUUGUGGGUUUGCAAAAGGAAGAGAGGGGCAAGGAAAACGAAGACUCAAAAAAUUCCUCCACUUCGGCACAUAAUGUGCGUGGAUGUGGCCUUAAUAUACUGAUGCCAAAACAAGCAAUCAUCUUGCCUUUGCAGACUGUAAACAUGGUACACCGCUGGUCGAAUCAUCUAG